ensembl:snRNA U6 U6 spliceosomal RNA
GUGCUCGCUUCGGCAGCACGUAUACUAAAAUUGGAACGAUACAGAGAAGAUUAGCAUGGCCCCUGCGCAAGGAUGACAGGCAAAUUCGUGAAGCGUUCAAAGUAUUU